rnacentral:rRNA from 1 species
AGCGAACGCUGGCGGCAGGCCUAAAACAUGCAAGUCGAACGCCGUAGCAAUACGGAGUGGCAGACGGGUGAGUAACACGUGGGAACGUACCCUUUGGUUCGGAACAACACAGGGAAACUUGUGCUAAUACCGGAUAAGCCCUUACGGGGAAAGAUUUAUCGCCAAAGGAUCGGCCCGCGCCUGAUUAGCUAGUUGGUGGGGUAACGGCCCACCAAGGCUACGAUCAGUAGCUGGUCUGAGAGGANGAUCAGCCACACUGGGACUGAGACACGGCCCAGACUCCUACGGGAGGCAGCAGUUAGGAAUCUUGGACAUGGGCGCAAGCCUGAUCCAGCCAUGCCGCGUGAGUGAUGAAGGCCUUAGGGUUGUAAAGCUCUUUCAGCGGGGAAGAUAAUGACGGUACCCGCAGAAGAAGCCCCGCUAACUUCGUG